UUCUGUGUGCGUGUGACAAAAAACUGCCAACUAUAUAACGGCUUAAACGACUUUCCCGAAGAAGAAAGCGCCCAAAUCCAAAGGCUUUAUCUUGCAGUUUCCUCCUCUCUCUUUCCAUUGGAGAGCUCGUUCUUAGUAAGAUUCAGCUCAAAUUUCUUUUUCCUUGAUCAGUAAAUCUCAAAAGUUUGUGCCUUUGAGUUCGUACUUAGCAGCUUUUUGACAACUUCGUCUUCUUUCUUGCUUUUCAACGACAACCCAUAUCUGUUUUGUCCUGUUUUUUUGUGUUGAACAAUCUGACCCAGAAUUUGAUUUGGAAGCAAAGUAGUAAAAUUGGUAAGAGAACCAAAACCCAUCUGGAUUUUGUUCAUCUUUCUGCAAUUAUUGCCAUGAACUAUCUGUACCCAGUGAAGGAAGAAUUCCCGGGUUCAAGUGCAUCACAAUCGGGUCCUGGUGACCCGGUGAUGAUGAUACCGCCACAGCCAAUGGAGGGUCUGAAUGACACAGGCCCUCCUCCAUUUCUGACCAAGACCUUUGACAUGGUGGAUGACCCGAGUACCAAUCGGAUAGUUUCUUGGAGCAGAGGAGGUGGAAGCUUUGUUGUUUGGGAUCCUCAUAACUUUGUUAUGAAUCUCCUUCCUAGAUACUUCAAGCACAAUAAUUUCUCAAGCUUUGUCAGGCAGCUCAACACUUACGGCUUUAGAAAGGUUGAUCCUGACAGAUGGGAGUUUGCCAAUGAGGGGUUUGUAAGGGGUCAGAAGCAUCUCCUUAAGAACAUUAAAAGAAGGAAGACACCUUCUCAGCCUCUUCCUGCACAACAAGCUCUAGGCCCUUGUGUGGAAGUAGGCCGGUUUGGGCUAGAUGGAGAAAUUGAUCGUUUGCGGCGCGACAAGCAGGUCCUAAUGAUGGAGUUGGUGAAGCUUAGACAGCAGCAGCAGAAUACUAGAGCCUACCUUCAAGCAAUGGAACAAAGGCUGCAAGGGACCGAAAGGAAGCAGCAACAAAUGAUGGCUUUCUUGGCAAGGGCAAUGCAAAACCCAGCUUUUAUGCAGCAGCUAGUCCAACAGAAGGAUAAAAGGAAGGAGCUUGAGGAAGCCAUGACUAAGAAAAGGAGGAGGCCAAUUGAUCAAGGACCUAGUGGUGUUGGUGGUGGCAAAUCGAGCCUAAAGGGCAAGGGAACAAACCUCAUUAAAUGUGAGCCUCUUGAAUUUGGAGAUUGUGAUUAUGAAAUGUCAGAGCUAGAAGCACUUGCAUUGGAAAUGCAAGGAUUUGGAAAGGCAAGAAAGGAACAGGAUGAAGAGCUGGAGCCACUAGAGAGUGGGAAAGAGUUCGAUGAGGGCUUUUGGGAAGAACUAUUUAGUGAGAGAUUUGAGGAAGACUUCAGCAUUCCAAGUGCAAUAGUAGGGGAAGAUGAAGAUGUGAUUAUCUUGGCUGAUCGCUUAGGUUACUUAGGUUCAUGCCCAAAGUAGAGCUAUCUAGCUGCACUUCUUCAGCAUUUCUAUCUCUGUCCUCUUCAGUUCACUGCCUCAUUGACCAUUUCUUUUUGGGUAGGAGGCUAAGGCCUCCAACAGUUGUUUCCAUAGUCUCUCAUUUUGCAUCUCUACAGUCUCGUCAAGUGCCAUUAGGCCAUAACUUUCAUUCUGGAUUUCUUGCUAUUGACAGGAUAGGGGGAUUAGCAAGCUGAUAUCCGUUGAAACCAUCUUUGUUUCUGGUGUUUCUAACCCUGCACUUGUUUAUUAAUUGCCUCCUUUUCUCAUCUAAUAAUGCCCUCUCUUUGUUUCUUUAUCUUGGUUAGGUUGCAGGCAUUGCUUGGACAGAAACUGUGCUAGUUUUUAUGAUGAUUUAUCUCAAGAUUUGUUGAGAAGCUGUUGAACUUGAAAAGGAGUAGCUGCAAGCUCCAAGAACCAUAAACAAAAUAUUGUUUUUGGAUCCAAGUGACUAUUGGCUGAUAACUUUGUCAGUAUGAUACUUUCUGUUACUGAGUACUGUCCUAUGUUGUUUGAGUAGAGAUAUAAACAGAGGUAGUUGGGUAAUAUGAACUUCAUAAUGUUACAUUUGUACCAUGUAGAUUUGUUCAUGUCGGGCAAAUACGGUUCUCAUCGGUCACUACAUCAGCCGUGGACUCUCAAACUGGUACAGUAUCACUCUUUAAAACAUCACCAUAAAAGAUGUGUUCCUUACCCAAUUGAUGUCUUACUUACAGUACAGAUGAAGAAAGACAGGAUCCAAGUAUCAAAGUAGAUUGACUGGGUUGAACUUGAAGAGCAUAAUAUGAUUCUAACUCUACAAGUAGGGUUAGAAUGUGUUUAAUUUGUGUGAGUAAUCAUUGAAACUUUGGUCUGCAAGAUUCUGUAAUUAAGCUGAGAUUUUUAGUGAGGCGGAUUAUAGAAAGUUAUGUGCCUAGCGGAUGAUAGAAAGUUAAUACUUUACUGGGAAGGCUUCAAUAGAAGUUGGACUGUUCCACCCUUAAGAAGCUUAGGCUAACCAAUUCAAGAAAUCACAACCCUUUAAUUUUUGCUUAGUCUAGUGUUGUGCACUUAUUAGUCUGCCAUGUGUUUUAACAUUCCCCAUGGCAGUGUGUGAUUGGCUUGGGAUAUUGUCUGGUGACAUCCUUAUUUUAUAAAAGUUUUUGUUGUAUUUGGAUA